rnacentral:pre_miRNA from 14 species
AUUAAAGCCAUAAUUAAAGACAGGGUUUUCAUGAUAUGAAAUGGCUCUUGUUGAAAGAUCCCCGGAGCGAGGAGACCCUCACUCAAGUCUUGCGAUGAAGCGACCACCCAAGAACUCACACAAGACU